UACAAGGAACGCCCAUAGCUCAGUUGGUAGGGCACCUGCCUUGCAUGCAGAAGGUCCCAGGUUCAAGUCCUGACAGCCUCUCCAGGUAA